rnacentral:lncRNA from 1 species
GCGACAUUCUGACAUCACAAGGGUGGAGCCAGGAGCAGCAGCAGGAUCACUCCCUGCAUGUAAAAGCCCUGCCAGCAGGGAGUGGCACAAACAGGAUGGGCAAAUAUGGCAUGGUGCAUCAGAAGGGUGUGAUGUAGCAGUCUGUGUGGGCAUUUCAAGCAAGGAGGGUGAGAAGGGCAGAGUAUCUCUGUGAACUCAGGAGACCAACUCACCUAUCAGCUGCUUCCCAGACAAGAAAUCUAGCUGUGGUCUCCAUUAGGCAGAGAGCUCUGACAAGAAAGAAUAUGUUGACUCAGAUGGAGUGCCUGCCUAAAAAUGUGGUGAUUCACAUCUCCAGCUGCAUUCAGGCCUACAGUGAAGAAGUUGCAGAGAGAAGCCUGAGGAUUAUGAAAAAGGACUUCAAAGCCAUUAGUGGAUGAAGUGAGUGAACAGGUUGUAUUUUCCUCUAUCACUUCAGUGGUAGGGAAGGAUAAUGAAAGGAAAAGGAAAACCUAUUUCAUAAAUGCAU